CUCUUUGUGCUUUCUUGGACAGGAUGUUCCGCUUCUUGAUUAUGUAUUGUCUGGAACAGUGUUUCCUUUUGUUCUCUCUAGCCAAUGCCAGAUUCUUGCAUUGUGAGGAAAAAAUAAGCACCCUAUUCAUUUUUUCUGCAAAAUGUUAUAUCUCGUUAAUAUACUUCAGUAUUCUUCUUUGACUGAAAAGUUUGCCUAUUUGGUUUAGAAGCCACUCCAUAAUAGUCUCCUUGUUGAAUUUCUUUAGUCCUUCUAAUUCUUACUAAUACUAAUGCAUGACCAGAAUUACAUGUAAUGAUUAAGGUGUACACUGAGUUUAGGGAUUAUAUGGAAUUAUGAUGACUGGUUUGUUUUGUGCUCCUUUUCCAAAGCCUUCUGAUCAUUCUGUUGGCUUUUUGUCUUCUGAGCUCCCAUACCUGUGAAGAGACCAUUUGUGACUGGCAAAAGAUAACAGUUCAUAAAAUGCUAUUCAGCAACAAGAGAUAAGUAUGAAAGUACAGAGAGAAGAGUAUUCAGAACACAGCAGUGAUCAUGGACACUGAUAGUCUGGAAGUCAUCAAAUGAGUGGGGCCUGAUUGCCAACUUGGAAAGUUUGGCUUUAAGUGUUCACUCACCUACUGAUGUGGAGCCAAGUUUUGGUUCAGGUAUGUUAUCAUCUAUGAUGUUUUGUAGUAAAACUUCAGAAUGUAGAAAAUGUAGUAUGUAAUAAAUAGAAAUAUGUAUCCCCCCCAGAACUCAUACAGAAGAUAGGGAAGACAUAUAAAAGAAGCAAAUUUUGCAGAGAGAAUUAAAAAGUCAUUACCUUGCCACAUGCACGUUUUAGCCUUUAUCCUGAGAACAGAAAACCUAUGUAAUUUUGCAACCUGCAGUUGUCUUUUUGUCUGCCUGGCAUAAUUUCUCCAGGUAGUUUUAGAACUCAUGAUCAGUAUCAACCAAAUUUAAAAGAGGGUUACAGGUCAUUGCAUUACUGCAAAUUAAAUGAGAACAGGUUGGAACUCAGAGCAGGAUUUUGAGUGGGAGCAAAACUCCAGUAUGCAUGCAGUUCACACUGGGAGACUGGCCUGCUGAGAAAGUUGAGUCAUAACUCUUCUGUUAAUGGAAAUAUUUGUUAUAAUCAUAUUUGGAUAGUUCCUGAAAUCUGUAAAUGUGUUUAUUCUGCAUACUUCAGCAAUGGGAGAACUACCACAUAUCUACAGAAGAAUAAUUAUUUCCCUCUUAUGAGUGAGACUCAAAGCCCUUUCAAGCUUUUGAUGCUCUAGUGCAAGAUAAACUAAAUAGAUUUAAGAAAAAAGCAUUCCGUUUAUUUGAUGAAUGUCAUUUUUCACAUUGUCUCUCAGCUGCUCACAGUGAUAAUAGCUAAUGGCUUCUCGUCAAAGAGAAUACAGAAAAUGUGCUUCAUGGACCUAAAAGUUAAAUUAUGGCUAAAGGAGAAGAGAAGGAUACAUUACCAAACUGUUAGUGUUGCCAUACAUCUGUUACCAUGACAAAGAAAAACCCCAACCAAACAAACACAUUUAACAAUACCACAAAAUUGAAAGCAGUUAUCUUCCAUUCUCAUGAAUGAAGUUAAACUUCUGUGAAUGUUGUUUUUAGAUUGAUGCACAAGUAGUUACUAUUUAACAUUAGUAGAAGUUGGCUCUAUAGUAAAAUCUCCUGCUUUGACAUUUCCAUGUAUUAUUGAGUGAGCAGUGCCCAUGCUGAUGAAAUGUAGUUUUCUGCAACAUAUCCAGUGUAUUAAAUAAAUUGGUUGCCUCAAUGCAGUUGAGCCACACUUUUCCAUAGGAUUUACUAAAAAGCCUGACCAAAGGACCUUUUGAUGUCUAGAGUAAAGAAAUACUGAGCAGUUUCUUCUAUUCUAAUAAAAGCAAACUAUUAAGCCUUUUACAUUACAGACAAAACCACAGUAGCUGCAUAUUUAGCAACAAAUUUCAAUUACUAAUGUUCUCUUCAGUUUUUCUUAUCUAUUAUAUUACUACGUGAUCUAUUAUAUUCUACGUGAUGAUAUUGUAUAAUACUGCUGUUACAUUUAAUGUAUCAUAUUUUCUCCUCAAAGGACCUACUUUACAGGUCAGUAUGUUUAUACUUCCUAGAGUAUUUUAUACAGAGAUUUUGAAAAUGACAUUAUAAAAAUGUAAUUCUACUGCCUUCUUACAAUGUAAUAAACAAUACCUGAAUAAAA